rnacentral:misc_RNA from 1 species
GCAAACUUGGUCAUUUAGAGGAAGUAAAAGUCGUAACAAGGUUUCCGUAGGUGAACCUGCGGAAGGAUCAUUAUCGAGUACCGGUGCUCUCUGGGUGCCUACUCCCACCAUAUGUGAACCUUUUAGCCGUUGCUUUGGCGGGCCGGUAGCUAGAGUCUAUCUACCCUCCGGCUCCGGCUGGGGAGCGCCCGCCAGAGGAUCUUUUAAACCCGUCCUAAAUGUAAAUUCAGAGUCCCAUCUUAAAAGUCAAAACUUUCAACAACGGAUCUCUUGGUUCUGGCAUCGAUGAAGAACGCAGC